rnacentral:rRNA from 1 species
GAUGAACGCUGGCGGCGUGCUUAACACAUGCAAGUCGAACGAUGAUGCCCAGCUUGCUGGGUGGAUUAGUGGCGAACGGGUGAGUAACACGUGAGUAACCUGCCCUUGACUCUGGGAUAAGCCUGGGAAACUGGGUCUAAUACCGGAUACGACCAUCUGGCGCAUGUCAUGGUGGUGGAAAACUUUUGUGGUUUUGGAUGGACUCGCGGCCUAUCAGCUUGUUGGUGGGGUAAUGGCCUACCAAGGCGACGACGGGUAGCCGGCCUGAGAGGGUGACCGGCCACACUGGGACUGAGACACGGCCCAGACUCCUACGGGAGGCAGCAGUGGGGAAUAUUGCACAAUGGGCGCAAGCCUGAUGCAGCGACGCCGCGUGAGGGAUGACGGCCUUCGGGUUGUAAACCUCUUUCAGUAGGGAAGAAGCGAAAGUGACGGUACCUGCAGAAGAAGCGCCGGCUAACUACGUG